GGUCAUGUGGCCGGCAUGACUGCAUGGAGCGCCGUUACCUUCCCGCCGGAGCGGUACCUAUUGUAAAACAUAACAGUAUGGAUAUAGGCAGGUGUCCCCUUCCUCCCUCAUCGCUCCAUGUGCUUCCCUCCCAAAGCUGCACACUCGGUGGAAGAGGAAGACGUCCCAGGUAUAGAUAUAGGUAUGUCAUUAUUUGAUUACUGUUUCUUUAAAUUGGCCUAAGUAUUAAUAUGAACAUUGCUCCUGCUGAUAAUGCUUAAUGU
rnacentral:snRNA from 11 species